AANGCGUGAGAAUCUACCUUCAGGUCUGGGACAACCACUGGAAACGGUGGCUAAUACCGGAUGUGCCGAGAGGUGAAAGGUUAACUGCCUGAAGAUGAGCUCGCGUCUGAUUAGCUAGUAGGUAGUGUAAAGGACUACCUAGGCGACGAUCAGUAGCUGGUCUGAGAGGACGAUCAGCCACACUGGGACUGAGACACGGCCCAGACUCCUACGGGAGGCAGCAGUGGGGAAUUUUCCGCAAUGGGCGAAAGCCUGACGGAGCAAUACCGCGUGAGGGAGGAAGGCUCUUGGGUCGUAAACCUCUUUUCUCAGGGAAGAACACAAUGACGGUACCUGAGGAAUAAGCAUCGGCUAACUCCGUGCCAGCAGCCGCGGUAAUACGGAGGAUGCAAGCGUUAUCCGGAAUGAUUGGGCGUAAAGCGUCCGCAGGUGGCUAUGUAAGUCUGCUGUUAAAGAGUCUAGCUCAACUAGAUAAGAGCAGUGGAAACUACAUGGCUAGAGUGCGUUCGGGGCAGAGGGAAUUCCUGGUGUAGCGGUGAAAUGCGUAGAGAUCAGGAAGAACACCGGUGGCGAAGGCGCUCUGCUAGGCCGCAACUGACACUGAGGGACGAAAGCUAGGGGAGCGAAUGGGAUUAGAUA
rnacentral:rRNA from 1 species